AUAAUAUUUUGUAAAAAUAACUAUUAUUUUUUUAUGGAUUUUUCAUUAGAAAUGAUUGCUGUAAAUUAUGAAAGUAAAAAAAGUAUAUUUGAAUGCGUUUUUUACUUUAAUUUGAACAAAAUGACUGCCGAAAAUUACGACACAUCGGCGUCGCUGAAAGCGGGAAUUUCAGUUAAUUUUUUACGGAUAUAAAAUUGUAUUUUUUUACUCCGAAGCAUGUAUUUAAAUAACAGUUAAGUUAAAUCUAUUUAAUUCUGUAAAAUAUAAUUAUUAUUUUGCCGUAGAUACUUUUUUUUAUAUUUUUAAUGAUUUUCUGUCGCGGAAAAUCGGUAUUCGCACCAUGCACGCACACGUAGUAAAACUAGACUUAUCUUUAAAACACGAGAAUCAUGAGUACACUGCGAAUAACAAAGUUUUUAAAUUUUAGUUUACUUUUGACUUUAAGCCAUUUGUUUUAAAUCGAAAUUAAUUGAUAAUGUAAUUAUUUCAAAGUAAAAAUUUUCCGUCGCAAAUUGGCUUCUAACCUUCGCCACUGAACCAGCCUACGCACGACAUUCGCGCGAGUCUGUUUCUUCGCAAUAGUCUGUAUGUAUAGUGUCGAGGGCUAAUUCUAAAAAGAAUCGAGUCCUUACUAAUCUAAUGUUUAUUAAAAUUAGGUACAAUUGUUGGAACGCAUGAGAAAUAACAAAUUAAUAUUUCUUUAAAUCUAUAGCCAAAAGAAAGUAGAACUUUAUAACUCUGUAAAUUAUGAAUCGAGUGACGGCUGUCGUGAAAACGGGAGCCAUUUUACUCUUUUUUUUAGGGUGACCUACUUUUAUUAUAUAAUUUUAAAAUUCAUCGAUUUGAUAAGCAGCUGAGUAGCUGACUACGCAUGCGAUAUGGCUGGCACGUUUUGGGAUAGGGAUCGAGUACACCAUAGAAUUUUUUUUCUUAGAACUAAGCGUAUUUUUUUUUAAAAUCAAAAGAUACUUACAUAUCAGUUGUUGAUUUCAAUUUCAUUAUAGAUCUAAUCACUAACUUCAGUUUUUAAAAGUGAUUUUGCUUCUAGAACUAGCGUAUUUUCAAAAUUACGUAGAUUCUAAAUCUAGAUCUAUUCACUUACUAUUUGACAACCGUGUCAGUAAAAUGAGGUCACCGCUUCCAGAUUCUUAGAGUGUUUCUAAAAGCCAGAAUUUUAAAGGGGAGGGCGGUCGUUUUUUUUCUCAAGAAUAAUUAUAGAAAUAAGCUAUAAACUGGUAUAUUUUGUAAAGUUUGACAUAAUUACAAAUAAAUGUAUGCCUAAGUGAC